rnacentral:piRNA from 1 species
UCAUAGUUUUUUUCAUUUUGGUGGUCGAU